GGAGGUAGUGACAAUAAAUCACAAUGCGGGACUUUUAGUUUUGCAAUUGGAUUGAGAACAAUGUAAAAGAGUUAUCGAUAAACAAUUGGAGGGCAAGUCUGGUGCCAGCAGCCGCGGUAAUUCCAGCUCCAAUAGCGUAUAUUAACGUUGUUGCAGUUAAAAAGCUCGUAGUUGAAGUGUGGGGUGAAAGAAUGUGUGUUCAUUUUGAAUGUGCGUUUGGUCACCCCCUCUCCAAUGUGUUAUUAUGGGUAUUAAUUUACUUGUAAUAGCUAUUGGUCAUUUACUGUGAGAAAAUUAGAGUGUUCAAAGCAGGCAUUUGCUUGAAUAUAUUAGCAUGGAAUAAUAAUAAAAGGCUUUUGUGGUCGAUUUAAUUGGUUUGUUCAUGAAAGCAAGAUUAAUAGGGACAGUUGGGGGUAUUCAUAUUCAAUAGUUAGAGGUGAAAUUCUCGGAUUUAUGGAAGAUGAACAAGUGCGAAAGCA
rnacentral:rRNA from 2 species